GGACUGUGUUGUAGUUGAAACAUUUCCUUUGUUGUAAACAACAAGUUGUGCCCUAGGAAAGGACCUGCUGAAAGGAUCUGGAGGAUGAAAUGUGCUUCACUCAGCUUGGCUUCUCUCCUGGUGACACAGACCAUCAGCCAGUGCAACUGAAGCAUCAGUACAAUAAGGAGAAGAGAGACAGAAGAGGACAGGAAAAUGGCUGGUGUGCCACAGCAACAGCUGUUGGGGAACACAGAAGGGCAGACAACCCUCCUAGAGGCCACAGGCUUUAAUACUCCUAUUAGCUUUUCAAAUGCUUAAUAAUGUUUUUUUUUUUGGUUUAACACAAUGUUUAGCUCAGUGUUUAACAAAGUUUUCACUGUUAUUUAUUACAAAAAUCACUGAAAAUGUCUUUCCAUUCCACAGAAAGUGCGAUUAAUUCUGCACAUAAAAUAAGGAAACAUCCAUGCAUAGACUCCACUCCUGCAACUCCUAGAGGUUACUUGGAAACACCCUCAGAUUCUGAUGUCACCACAACUAGUCACGGAGCACAGUUGCUUAUGGAUCUGGAAGGAGACAGACACCUCCAGAAGCUCAGUCAGAUGGGAAGAAUUGUCCUCUGGAAACGCCGAUUACCUUCCACAGGCUACAAAGAGAUGUUAGGGCUACUAUGCUCAAAAUUUCAGCAACUUGGAACUAUACCUACAAGGGAAAAAUUCAUGUCUGUCUUUCUGUGGGAAUGUCCUAACAAAGUCUUGGAAAACAGACUUGACAUUUCUAGGACACAUCCUUCUACUAAUCUGUAAGAAUGAAUUCUACAUAUUCAGUAAAGGUUCAAUUAAGUAAUUUUAAUUAUUCCAUCAAAUAGUUCCUCAAGACAGUAAAAGAGGUUCUUGACUUUUUUGUAAACUUAUCAUGAAACUGGAGCAUUCAAUAUUUCUCAAAUGAUUACCUACCAUAUAAAAUAUUUGUUACUUCACAUUAUUACCAUACAGACUGUAUUUGCCCCCCACUUUGCCUAAAUCUUAUCUGGACAUCUACCUAGCCAAGAACAUAUCACCAGACAGUUGAAAUACUCUUCUAUGGAGAGUAUUAUUUUCAUGUAAGACUUUUCUGCUUCAGUGAUGACUACCUGCCAAUUCUAAAGAACCUUAAAUCCAGUCAUCUUUACCAAAGGACUGUUUUCUUAGAAAAAAAUAUCAAAAUGAGCUGUUUGAAGUGGUGUAACUGUCUUACAGUUCAAAACCUUGAACACAACACUAGUAUUCCUAAUGGUGGUCUCAAGAGAAAAUUGGUCCAGUAAUAGGCCAGGUUAAGAAACCAGCUCUGAAGCACAACGCUUCCCAUGUGAUGUCUCAGACAUUAAAACCAUUUCAAGCAGAAAUGCCUUCCAGAAUUGAGACAUGUAACUGAUUGCUACUUUCUAGCAAGGAGAAGAGAGAGGCGGGAGGGAGAGAGGGGAGGGAGAGAGGGG
rnacentral:lncRNA from 1 species